CCUACGGGAGGCAGCAGUCGAGAAUCAUUCACAAUGGGGGAAACCCUGAUGGUGCGACGCCGCGUGGGGGAAUGAAGGUCUUCGGAUUGUAAACCCCUGUCAUGUGGGAGCAAAUUAAAAAGAUAGUAACACAAGAGGAAGAGACGGCUAACUCUGUGCCAGCAGCCGCGGUAAUACAGAGGUCCCAAGCGUUGUUCGGAAUCACAGGGCGUAAAGCGUGCGUAGGCGGUUUCGUAAGUCGGGUGUGAAAGGCGCGGGCUCAACCCGCGGACGGCACAUGAUACUGGGAGACUAGAGUAAUGUAGAGGGGGCUAGAAUUCUCGGUGUAGCAGUGAAAUGCGUAGAGAUCGAGAGGAACACUCGUGGCGAAGGCGGGUUCCUGGACAUUGACUGACGCUGAGGCACGAAGGCCAGGGGAGCGAAAGGGAUUAGAUACCCGAGUAGUC
rnacentral:rRNA from 1 species